ensembl:lncRNA
CACAGGGUCUGGAUGUUCCUGAUACUCAGAAACUUAAUAGGGGAGGAUACGUUUCAACAAAAAUAGUAACUUUAGCAAGAUAGUGCUUUUCCCACAGUUUCGCCUUCUGUGUCAGGGAGCUGAAACACCUAGCUCUCUGUAGACUGUAAGCACUGCUCUUUUGCAUAGCCUUCAAAGUCCUGAUCAACAACUGUGAUAAAAAUGAAACAACAAUCCAAGGUUUAAGUAACAGGCAUAUUGCAUACAGGAGUGUGAACACGCAUGGACAGACCUAAGCUGAAAGAGGAUGUAGCAUUACAGAGAGGUCUGGUGCAGCACCUUACCCUAGAGUCACCAGUGGUCUCACAUGGAAAAGAGGCACCAAGAAGCCUUGAAUCCCAAGUAAAAAAUCACCUGGAGAUCGAAUCUUCUUAGAUAUCAGCAAGUUCAGGAGUAAAACUCCUGAAAUGGAUAAGCAACCAGGCACUUCUUGGCUUUUAUGCCUUUGGAACAAUCUGUUCAACCUUUCUAGGUCUGCUGCCACUGUGCCUUGAGGACAACAGGCUAUGCCUUUCCACUGGGUAAAUCUCAUCGGGGCAGAAGCAGCAAAGGAAGAGCUGGGAUGGUUCCAGAUAGCAGUAAAUUUGUUGGAAAAUGAGGCUUUUGGAAGUGCGUGUGUGAAGUGGAGAGCAGGAAAUCCAGUUUGCAUCUGACAAAUGCAGAUUUGCCCCACAUCUCCAGAAAGGAGGGCAGCCUCCAUUGGCUGAACGGUUCCAGUCUGAUGCGCUCUGUGCUGAGCUUCCUGGCUUCUUUUCUAUUUUUUGCCUAUAAAUCAGCCCACAAUCGAGAAGGGAAAACAAGAAGAUAAACAAUCUAAAGAUGCAAAACAAAUAAUUCCAGGUCAAAAACUAUCUGGUUGAUUGAAAUGUUCUGACAAAACAAACAAACAAACAAACAAAAACGAUCCCCUUCUCUAUACUGUUCUUUCCCCCUUAAUUUUCCUGCUGGCCCUUAAAACAAAAAUAAAAUGAUCAGACUGGU